UACGUAGGGGGCAAGCGUUGUCCGGAAUCAUUGGGCGUAAAGAGCGUGUAGGCGGCCAUACAGGUCCGUUGUGAAAACUCGAGGCUUAACCUCGAGACGUCGAUGGAAACCGUAUGGCUAGAGUCCGGAAGAGGAGAGUGGAAUUCCUGGUGUAGCGGUGAAAUGCGCAGAUAUCAGGAAGAACACCCGUGGCGAAGGCGGCUCUCUGGGACGGUACUGACGCUGAGGUGCGAAAGCGUGGGGAGCAAACAGG
rnacentral:rRNA from 1 species